rnacentral:rRNA from 1 species
AUUGAACGCUGGCGGCAGGCCUAACACAUGCAAGUCGAGCGAGCGGCGGACGGGUGAGUACUGUAUGGGGACUGCCCGAUAGAGGGGGAUAACUACUGGAAACGGUAGCUAAUACCGCAUACUAUCGGAUACCCCCUAUGGGAUUAGCUAGUAGGUGAGGUAAUGGCUCACCUAGGCGACGAUCCCUAGCUGGUCUGCGAGGAUGAUCAGCCAAAGUGGGAAGGAGACACGGCCCGGACUCCGACGGAGGCAGCAGUGGGGAAUAUGGCACAAUGGGCGAAAGCCUGAUGCAGCCAUGCCGCGUGUAUGAAGAAGGCCCUAGGGUUGUAAAGUACUUUCAGUCGGGAGGCGUUACCGACAGAAGAAGCACCGGCUAACUCCGUGCCAGCCGCCGCGGUAAUAC